rnacentral:rRNA from 1 species
UACGAAGGGGGCUAGCGUUGCUCGGAAUCACUGGGCGUAAAGGGUGCGUAGGCGGGUUUUUAAGCAGAGGUGAAAUCCUGGAGCUCAACUCCAGAACUGCCUUUGAUACUGAAAGUCUUGAGUAUGGGAGAGGUGAGUGGAACUGCGAGUGUAGAGGUGAAAUUCGUAGAUAUUCGCAAGAACACCAGUGGCGAAGGCGGCUCACUGGCCCGGUACUGACGCUGAGGUGCGAAAGCGUGGGGAGCAAACAGG